rnacentral:rRNA from 1 species
UACGGAGGGUGCAAGCGUUAUCCGGAUUCACUGGGUUUAAAGGGUGCGUAGGCGGAUAGGUAAGUCCGUGGUGAAAUCCUGCAGCUUAACUGCAGAACUGCCAUGGAUACUAUUUAUCUUGAAUAUCGUGGAGGUUAGCGGAAUAUGUCAUGUAGCGGUGAAAUGCUUAGAUAUGAUGUAGAACACCGAUUGCGAAGGCAGCUCACUAAAUUGUAACUGACGCUGAGGCACGAAAGCGUGGGGAUCAAACAGG